rnacentral:rRNA from 1 species
AACGAACGCUGGCGGCAUGCCUAACACAUGCAAGUCGAACGAGACCUUCGGGUCUAGUGGCGCACGGGUGCGUAACGCGUGGGAACCUGCCCUUAGGUUCGGAAUAACUCCCCGAAAGGGGUGCUAAUACCGGAUAAUGUCUUCGGACCAAAGAUUUAUCGCCUUUGGAUGGGCCCGCGUUGGAUUAGCUAGUUGGUAGGGUAAAAGCCUACCAAGGCGACGAUCCAUAGCUGGUCUGAGAGGAUGAUCAGCCACACUGGGACUGAGACACGGCCCAGACUCCUACGGGAGGCAGCAGUGGGGAAUAUUGGACAAUGGGCGAAAGCAUGAUCCAGCAAUGACGCGUGAGUGAUGAAGGCCUUAGGGUUGUAAAGCUCUUUUAACCGGGAUGAUAAUGACAGUACCGGGAGAAUAAGCUCCGGCUAACUCCGUG